UACGUAGGGGGCAAGCGUUAUCCGGAUUUACUGGGUGUAAAGGGAGCGCAGACGGAAAGCCAAGUCUGAUGUGAAAUGUGCGGGCUCAACCCGCAAGCUGCAUUGGAAACUGGUUAUCUGGAGUGCAGGAGAGGUAAGUGGAAUUCCUAGUGUAGCGGUGAAAUGCAUAGAUAUUAGGAGGAACACCGGUGGCGAAGGCGGCUUACUGGACGAUAACUGACGUUGAGGCUCGAAAGCGUGGGGAGCAAAC
rnacentral:rRNA from 1 species